rnacentral:lncRNA from 1 species
UACAUGUUGAAUGAUUCACUUUUAAUGCAUCAUAUGAAAUUAUGCUACUAAACAUCAGACAUUAAACACAUCUCCUAAAAUAAUUCUUAAAACAUCAUUUAGGAAGAGUUUAGUUCACUCGUCAACAUUAUACAACUACAUGUAAUACAUAUGUUUCAAAAUAACCAAAUAACAUGAAAUUUUAACAUAAAAAGAAUUCAGAGAAAUCUCCAGUUAAAUGUUACAUAACAUUCUUUAUUUCUGGUAGCCAGUGUAUCCAGGAUGCAGGAUACUUGAUAGUAUCUUUGCUUUGCAUAGAAUGGAGGCAUCAUUUUAAAAACUACAGUAUUUCCCCACAUUUUCCAUGAGAAUGUAGGUGCACAAACAGCUCUGAUCUGAGGUUAUGGAGAAGGCUGUGGAAGAGCAAGGACACAUC